AAGUUCUGCUGUUAGGGAAGAACAAGUACCAGAGUAACUGCCUGGUACCUUGACGGUAAUUUCCAACCAGAAAGCCACGGCUAACUACGUGCCAGCAGCCGCGGUAAUACGUAGGCGGUAAGCGUUGUCCGAAUUAUUGGGCAAGCGCGCGCAGGUGGUUCCUUAAGUCUGAUGUGAAAGCCCACGGCUCAACCGUGGGAGGGUCAUUGGAAACCGGGAACUCGGCAGAGGAAAAGUGGAAUCGGGCGUAGCGGUGAAAUGCGUAGAUUUGAGAAACACCAGUGGCGAAGGCGACUUUCUGGUCUGUAACCGACACUGAGGCGUUGAAAGCGUGGGGAGCAAACAGAUUAGAUACCCUGGUAGUCCACGCCGUAAACGAUGAGUGCUAAGUGUUAGGAGGGUUUCGCCCUUUAGUGCUGCAGCUAACCAUACUAAGCACUCCGCCUGGGGAGUACGGGCGCAAGGCUGAAACCAAAGAAUUGAUUUGGGCCCACAAGCGGUGGAGCAUGUGGUUUAAUCUGAAGCAACGCGAAGAACUCCACUAGGUCUUGACAUCCUCUGACAACCCUAGAGAUAGGGCCUUCUUCGGGGGGGACAGAGGACAGGUGGUGCAUGGCUGUCGUCAGCUUCGUGUCAGAGAUGUUGGGUUAAGUCCUGCAACGAGCGCAAACCCCUUUUAGUUGCCAGCAUUCAGUUGGGCACUCUAAGGUGACUGCCGGUGACAAACCGGAGGAAGGUGGGGAUGACGUCAAAUCAUCAUGCCCUUAUGACCUGGGCUACACACGUGCUACAAAUGGAUGGUACAAAGGGCUGCAAACCUGCGAAGGUAAGCGAAUCCCAUAAAGCCAUUCUCAGUUCGGAUUGCAGGCUGCAACUCGCCUGCAUGAAGCCGGAAUCGCUAGUAAUCGCGGAUCAGCAUGCGGUGAAUACGUUCCCGGGCCUUGUACACACCGCCCGCCCACACCACGAGAGUUUGUAACACCCAAGUCGGUGAGGUAACCUUUCAUGGAGCCAGCCGCCUAAGGUGGGACAGAUGAUUGGGUGAAGUCGUAACAAGGUAGCUGUAUCGGAAGGUGCGGCUGAUCACCUCCUUU
rnacentral:rRNA from 1 species